AUAACGGUCCUAAGGUAGCGAAAUUCCUUGUCGGGUAAGUUCCGACCCGCACGAAAGGCGUAACGAUUUGGGCACUGUCUCAACGAGAGACUCGGUGAAAUCAUAGUACCUGUGAAGAUGCAGGUUACCCGCGACAGGACGGAAAGACCCCGUGGAGCUUUACUGUAGCCUGAUAUUGAAAUUCGGCACAGCUUGUACAGGAUAGGUAGGAGCCUUUGAAACGUGAGCGCUAGCUUACGUGGAGGCGCUGGUGGGAUACUACCCUAGCUGUGUUGGCUUUCUAACCCGCACCACUUAUCGUGGUGGGAGACAGUGUCAGGCGGGCAGUUUGACUGGGGCGGUCGCCU
rnacentral:rRNA from 1 species